rnacentral:rRNA from 1 species
UACAGAGACUGCAAGCGUUAUUCGGAUUCACUGGGCGUAAAGGGUGCGCAGGCGGUUGGGUGUGUCAGAUGUGAAAUCCCGAGGCUCAACCUCGGAACUGCGUCUGAAACUACUCGACUAGAGUACUGGAGAGGGUAACGGAAUUCACGGUGUAGCAGUGAAAUGCGUAGAUAUCGUGAGGAACACCAGUGGCGAAGGCGGCUCACUGGUCCGGUACUGACGCUGAGGUGCGAAAGCGUGGGGAGCAAACAGG